CACUGACAGGCGCAGUGGACAAAUUCAAGAAUAUGAAAACGGAACGCUCAUCCUUUCUUACCUCGCCUCGCUUUUGCGGGGAGAGGUCGCGAGCCAAAAGCGCGUUUACGCGCGUCUUCGACGCGCUAUGGCGAGCGGGUGAGGGGCCUUCUUGCUUCCAUCGGCGUNUCACCCGGAGACUUCGCUGCGCUCAGCCUCCGACCUCUCCCCGUAACAACGGGGAGAGGUGAAGGGUGUCCGCUAUGAUCGUUCUUAAACGUAUCGUGAUCGGACUCGUUGUCGCGUUCAUCGCCGUGGUGUUCGGCCUUUUCGCCUACAACUUCUAUCUCCGCUUCACGGCGGGCGACG
rnacentral:misc_RNA from 1 species